rnacentral:rRNA from 1 species
UACGUAGGGUGCAAGCGUUGUCCGGCAUUAUUGGGCGUAAAGAGCUUGUAGGCGGUUUGUCGCGUCUGCUGUGAAAUUUCGGGGCUCAACCCCGAACUUGCAGUGGGUACGGGCAGACUAGAGUGUGGUAGGGGAGACUGGAAUUCCUGGUGUAGCGGUGAAAUGCGCAGAUAUCAGGAGGAACACCGAUGGCGAAGGCAGGUCUCUGGGCCAUAACUGACGCUGAGAAGCGAAAGCAUGGGGAGCGAACAGG